CCUACGGGAGGCAGCAGUGAGGAAUAUUGGUCAAUGGACGCAAGUCUGAACCAGCCAUGCCGCGUGCAGGAAGACGGCUCUAUGAGUUGUAAACUGCUUUUGUACGAGGGUAAACGCAGAUACGCGUAUCUGUCUGAAAGUACCGUACGAAUAAAGAUCGGCUAACUCCGUGCCAGCAGCCGCGGUAAUACGGAGGAUUCAAGCGUUAUCCGGAUUGAUUGGGUUUAAAGGGUGCGUAGGCGGUCGGAUAAGUUAGAGGUGAAAUCCCGGGGCUCAACUUCGGAAUUGCCUCUGAUACUGGUCGGCUUGAGUGUAGUUGAGGUAGGCGGAAUGUAUGGUGUAGCGGUGAAAUGCUUAGAGAUCAUGCAGAACACCGAUUGCGAAGGCAGCUUACCAGGCUACUUCUGACGUUGAGGCACGAAAGCGUGGGGAGCAAACAGGAUUAGAUACCCUGGUAGUC
rnacentral:rRNA from 1 species